rnacentral:snRNA from 1 species
GUGCUGGCUUCAGCAGCACAUAUACCAAAAUUGGAAUGAUACAGAGAAGGUUAGCAUGGCCCCUGCACAAGGCUGACACACAAACUUGUGAAGCGUUCCAUAUUUCA